rnacentral:rRNA from 1 species
ACGAAGGGGGCUAGCGUUGCUCGGAAUCACUGGGCGUAAAGGGCGCGUAGGCGGCCGGCCAAGUCGGGGGUGAAAGCCUGUGGCUCAACCACAGAAUGGCCCUCGAUACUGGCUGGCUCGAGACCGGAAGAGGUUGGUGGAAUUGCGAGUGUAGAGGUGAAAUUCGUAGAUAUUCGCAAGAACACCGGUGGCGAAGGCGGCCAACUGGUCCGGAUCUGACGUUGAGGCGCGAAAGCGUGGGGAGCAAACAGGA